rnacentral:ncRNA from 1 species
CCAACAGCAGUGAUUGGGACGAGUAGUUCACAGCCCCGUACAGAGAGCGCCCGCCUUUGGCUGGAAGCGGCCGCCGAUCCGGCGUGAACGAAUGUCACCCAUGAGCUGCGCGGCCGAAGCGACAUGCGUCGUGGGUAAGCUGCGCCGGGCCAGCCCGUUACAGCGUUCGAGUGCCGUGUCGUCAUUGACGCGGAAUCAAGGUGGUACCGCGGAGCUUGCGCCUUUCGCCCUUGUG